UGAAAUUUGAAUGCAUGUGGAUGACUUCAUUACAUCAUUGUUUAACUUGACCCAAAGAAGCAAGGGUGAGGGCUGAAGAGAUGGCUCAGCAGUUAAGAGCACUAGUGGCUCUCCCAUAGGUCCUGAGUUCAAUUCCCACCAACCACAUGGUGGCUCAUAGCCAUCCAUAAUGAGAUCUGGUGCCCUGCAUAUGCAUAUACACAGGCAGAACACAGAAUAGACAAAUAAAUAAAUCCUAAAAAAACAAGGGUGAGCCUCAAGUAUUGUGAGAGGCUCAAGUCUGAGAUUAAAUGCAGUAACUUGAAAGAAUGUAAGUAAAAUCUGGGGUUGUCUGGUUAGAAGGCAGUAACUGGAGUAUCUUUGGAUUUUCUAGCUCGCUAGAAAUUUGUAAUAAAGGCAACCUUGUCUUACUUGUUAGUAAUAAAUACACAAAAUAGAUUAAAAAGGGGGAAGGGAAUUGAGAAUCUCCAAUUAUGAGCCUGAGAGUCUGCUCAGAUGAAUGGCAUUGGUAACUAACAUGAGGUAGCUUGCCCUAGCUAUCUGUCUAAACAGAUAAAAACAUGAUUAACCAGGAUAGUGGUUUGAAAGGGUGGUUCCCAGGGCAUUGUAUUCAGCAUGAGCUGGGAUUAUGUCAAAAAUGCAAAUUUUCAGGCCCUACCCAAGAAUACUAAAUAACAGAUCCUGGGAAGGCCCGAAUUGUUGUCUUAAAAUAUCCAGGACAUUUUGAUGCUCAGUUAAGUUUUAAAAUUGGCUCAGGCCUAGUCAGAUUAAUAUUUUUUUCUCUGACAAGAAUUUGGACUGAGACAUAUAAGAGUCAGUCUGCUGGCUGUGGGAAGGCUAAACAUUGGCUAAAAGGAGAUUAUGAGUAAGCUGAACUUAUGAGUAAGCCGAAGGUAUGAGUAAAGGGUGCCUGGCUCAUAGUCACAGAGACAGCGAGGGACAGCAACACACACCCUCAUGAGUCGGAGACAGCUCAGACCAGGAUGUUCCUUACAGCAGAGAAACUGUACAAAGCCCCGGUCAUUGCUGUCUGCUGAGCCAGAGGCUCCCUGCUCAUACCCAGCCCUUUCUACUGCUUCCCCAUAAUUAA
rnacentral:lncRNA from 1 species